AACGAACGCUGGCGGCAUGCCUAACACAUGCAAGUCGAACGAGACCUUCGGGUCUAGUGGCGCACGGGUGCGUAACGCGUGGGAACCUGCCCUUAGGUUCGGAAUAACUCCUCGAAAGGGGUGCUAAUACCGGAUGAUGUCGAAAGACCAAAGAUUUAUCGCCUUUGGAUGGGCCCCGCGUAGGAUUAGGUAGUUGGUGGGGUAAAGGCCUACCAAGCCGACGAUCCUUAGCUGGUCUGAGAGGAUGAUCAGCCACACUGGGACUGAGACACGGCCCAGACUCCUACGGGAGGCAGCAGUGGGGAAUAUUGGACAAUGGGCGAAAGCCUGAUCCAGCAAUGCCGCGUGAGUGAUGAAGGCCUUAGGGUUGUAAAGCUCUUUUACCAGGGAUGAUAAUGACAGUACCUGGAGAAUAAAGCUCCGGCUAACUCCGUGCCAGCAGCCGCGGUAAA
rnacentral:rRNA from 1 species